UUGGAGCUUCCCCACCGCAUUCGAGUUCGCCGAUUUGAGCUGCUUUGCAGUCUUAUCUGUCGUGUGAAGGCAUCAAGCGGGAAGUACAAAAGGCUGCUAUUGGAUUGGUUUCUAUUCUAACUAAAAGGUUUGAGGGCAUGCAGAGCGGGGACUGACUGGCACGAGCAUAACAUGCCGCUCGAACAUACGCAAUAUAUUGUAACGGCUGCGCGUGGAAUUCUUUGCUUGGCCAUGUUGCAUGAUGAUAAUUGUUUUGGGGGGUUCAAAUCCUCAAAUGCCAAGCCCGAAGUAUUCUUUGCAUGACCAUUAUAUUGCUUAUUGCUUUGGGGGUCAAAUUCUCAAAUCCCAAUGGGAUUUGGCCC
rnacentral:lncRNA from 1 species